GCAAAGAACAGGGGUGGGAGACAGGACUCCUUGCAUGGCUAAAGGCCAUGGAAACUUGAGAGAAUGGCUUCAGUGAACCAAUACUCUAGGAAUCUUGGACAUGUGAAGAAAUUCUACCCAUUGAUCUCAAUGAAAUGGCAGCUGAGAGUGAGACUGGGUCUUCUCAUUUAAGUUCCUCUUUCCUGGUAUAGUGCAUUGUGUUUUGUUGAUUAGAAAAUGAUUCAUAAUACAGUAUUAGUAUACCUAGUAGACACUGAACAUGUUAAGUCAGAGAAUUCAGAGGGUUUCUGGAGGACUCAGGAGAAACAGACAAGAUGUGAGGAAGGAAAUGCAGACUGUAUACAUUCCUAGAACCACAAAAUAGUCCAAUAAAGUAGAGGAUACAGUUGUGACUGAACUGCCAGGACCCAUUCCCAUUGACAUAGCUACAGGGCCUCUCCUCAGGUGAAAGAAGUUGUACAGACAAAAGGCCAUACAUCAAUUAAACCAUCGUUAUGGAUGGAGCAGCAUACUAGCUCCACCAUGAGUUUGAGUUUAAGAGUUUGGGA
rnacentral:lncRNA from 10 species